rnacentral:rRNA from 1 species
CACGUGGGCGGACUGAAAAGUUGGAGGUGAAAUCCCAGGGCUCAACCUUGGAACUGCCUUCAAAACUAUCAGUCUGGAGUUCGAGAGAGGUGAGUGGAAUUCCGAGUGUAGAGGUGAAAUUCGUAGAUAUUCGGAGGAACACCAGUGGCGAAGGCGGCUCACUGGCUCGAUACUGACGCUGAGGUGCGAAAGCGUGGGGAGCAAACA